UGCCGUGGGCGUUGGAUAUUUGAAGGGGGCUGCUCCUAGUACGAGAGGACCGGAGUGGACGAACCUCUGGUGUACCGGUUGUGACGCCAGUCGCAUCGCCGGGUAGCUAUGUUCGGAAGAGAUAACCGCUGAAAGCAUCUAAGCGGGAAACUCGCCUUAAGAUGAGAUAUCCCUGGAGGCUUGACCUCCUUGAAGGGUCGUUCGAGACCAGGACGUUGAUAGGUCGGGUGUGUAAGCGCAGUAAUGCGUUCAGCUAACCGAUACUAAUUGCCCGUAAGGCUUGAUCCUAUAACA
rnacentral:rRNA from 1 species